AAACAGAAAUGGGUUGUGAACAGUGCUGUUGUGAUAGCAGCCACAUGAAACCUUGCAUGAUCGUCUGCAGGGAUGCACAAUGGAGUCUGUUUCUCAGCCCUGGUGGAGCAGGGCUGCAAGGUGAGACAACCCAAACAGCCGCAGCUAUGAGAGAUCGAAGCGAGAGGCAUCCCGAUGGUCACCGAGCUGGCAGAAGAUUUGACCUGCAGGGAUCUUCCCCCCAGUCAUUUGCAGUGGUUGAAAUGGUUCCUUUCCAGCACAGAUCUUGGAAAGAGUGGGAAGAGAGAACACAGAAAGUUGGAAACCUCUCUGCAGCAUUUCUGUCAUGUUAUGUGGGGAGAAACAAAAAUGGGCACAGCAAGAAGGAAGAUCUGGAUGGUGUUCAUCAGCUUUGGGCAGCAUCAAACCUUUCGAUGAGCACAGGUCUUCAAAUGACGUCGAGAACAUGCCCACCACAAGCAGCUCCAUGGAGGUCCUGGUCCUGGUCCUGCCCUCUGGAACACGGGGCCGUGGGGCCCAUUGAUGGAGGAGGUGGUCACCUGCUUCAGAACAAUCUGGGCGAUGUACUUUCUUGACCACACCUGAUGGACACGUGGCACUCUUCAGUGUGUUGCCUUCCUUGGUUGGAAGUCAUUUUUUUUUGUUCUAAUAUUCACCAGGUCUUUGUUUUCCAUUUACAAUAUUUGAGAACCAAGAUGGUGUUUAUAAAAAUCCACUUGU
ensembl:lncRNA